rnacentral:lncRNA from 1 species
CCGAGUCUUCCAGCGAGUAAAUCAUUAUCCCAGGCUACACAAAGCAAUCCUUGAACCAGCCUGUCGCUGCCCUGUGACACGAUCCAAGGAAGCAAAGGGGAGGAGGUUGGCUUGGGACCCACGAACAGGACCCCCACCCAUGCCCUGAAGACUGAUCCUGGCCUGUGAACAGAGCACACAGCUGCAGAGGAGUGGGAUUGGCAUCUCUUUGGCACAACCGGGGACAUGACGUAGCUUGCAAGCCAGAGUAAUAAGGGCUCUCUGGGAGCAUGUGGUAAGCUCCGAGUGGCUGCUGUCUCCUGAAGCGAGCCAGACCCUGGCUUCCUCCAGGGAUGGAAAACCGGUCCCUGCUAUCCACCUGAGCAUGGCAGCUGUGUCCCUGGGUGUCGGCGCCAGACUGUCCAAGUUCAAAUCUUACCAUUCC